rnacentral:rRNA from 1 species
AUACAUGCAAGUCGAGCGCACAGAUGCGGAGCUUGCUCCCUGAUGUUAGCGGCGGACGGGUGAGUAACACGUGGGUAACCUGCCUGUAAGACUGGGAUAACUCCGGGAAACCGGGGCUAAUACCGGAUGCUUGUUUGAACCGCAUGGUUCAAACAUAAAAGGUGGCUUCGGCUACCACUUACAGAUGGACCCGCGGCGCAUUAGCUAGUUGGUGAGGUAAUGGCUCACCAAGGCAACGAUGCGUAGCCGACCUGAGAGGGUGAUCGGCCACACUGGGACUGAGACACGGCCCAGACUCCUACGGGAGGCAGCAGUAGGGAAUCUUCCGCAAUGGACGAAAGUCUGACGGAGCAACGCCGCGUGAGUGAUGAAGGUUUUCGGAUCGUAAAGCUCUGUUGUUAGGGAAGAACAAGUACCGUUCGAAUAGGGCGGUACCUUGACGGUACCUAACCAGAAAGCCACGGCUAACUACGUGCCAGCAGCCGCGGUAAUACGUAGGUGGCAAGCGUUGUCCGGAAUUAUUGGGCGAAAAGGGCUCGCAGGCGGUUUCUUAAGUCUGAUGUGAAAGCCCCCGGCUCAACCGGGGAGGGUCAUUGGAAACUGGGGAACUUGAGUGCAGAAGAGGAGAGUGGAAUUCCACGUGUAGGGGCGAAAUGCGCAGAGAUGAGAAGGAACACCAGUGUCGAAGGCGACUCUCUGGCCUGCACCUGACUCUGAGGAGCGAUAGCGUGCGAAGCGAACAGGAUCAGAUACCCUG